GAACGCUGGCGGUAGGCCUAACACAUGCCAGUCGCACGGCAGCACAGUAAGAGCUUGCUCUUACGGGUGGCGAGUGGCGGACGGGUGAGGAAUACAUCGGAAUCUACUUUUUCGUGGGGGAUAACGUAGGGAAACUUACGCUAAUACCGCAUACGACCUACGGGUGAAAGCAGGGGAUCUUCGGACCUUUCGCGAUUGAAUGAGCCGAUGUCGGAUUAGCUAGUUGGCGGGGUAAAGGCCCACCAAGGCGACGAUCCGUAGCUGGUCUGAGAGGAUGAUCAGCCACACUGGAACUGAGACACGGUCCAGACUCCUACGGGAGGCAGCAGUGGGGAAUAUUGGACAAUGGGCGCAAGCCUGAUCCAGCCAUACCGCGUGGGUGAAGAAGGCCUUCGGGUUGUAAAGCCCUUUUGUUGGGAAAGAAAAGCAGCAGGUUAAUACCCCGCUGUUCUGACGGUACCCAAAGAAUAAGCACCGGCUAACUUCGUG
rnacentral:rRNA from 1 species